AUCUUGUUUGUUAAUUUUCAGAUUCUUUUCUUGGGUUUGUAGGCUACUUUGGCUGAUUCCUUUCUAGCAUAUCUUGAUGAACUCUCUAAUGUAAACAAGUUUCAGGUUUCUAAAGGCUUUUUACUUCUCCGUGUAAAUGAAGUAAUAACUAUGUUGGUUGUUAUGUAAGUGAAGUCUUUAAUUUGUUUGGUUUACUUGGUGACUUUAAUUUGUUUUGUUAAUUUGAUGGAGUUAAUUGUUGUAAUGUUUAUAAGACUUGACCUUAAACUUAGUUUUGUAGCUAUUUUUGUUAGUUCUUACUAUAGCAAAAAACUCUCUUAUCUUAAAGUUUUGAUGAGAAAUUUUCAUGAGCUAGUUUUAUUUUGACGAUUGUUUAUUUUAAAGUACUUUUCAUAACUUAGUAUAACCUUUUUGUUGUAGUUAAGGUGUUUGAAAAAAUAUCUGAGAGAUCUUCACUAGAUUUUCAUAUUUACUAAUGUGGCAGCUAUUGGGUCUCCAUGGUUGUCAUUAAAGUUUAACUUUAUUUUGAGAUGUAUUUACGAAACUGUGAGCUAUAAAAUAUGUUUUCUUGUCAUGUUUCAUGAGUAGAAAUCUUCAUGGAGAGUUUGAAGACUUGUCACAGACUUAAGCUAAUACAAUUUCGUACUCAUCUUUUUCAUUAGAGAAAAGUCAUUCUACUGAAAAAAAGAAGAGAUAUUCUCCCUCUCUUCCUUUUGUUGUGGUGGAACUCAUAGAAAUGACUUUUCCUUUUUCGAUUUUGGUUUUAUAGUAAGUGAGUGGUCCAGGGACUUUAUAAAAUAGCUGGAAGCAAACUCAAUGGCUUGAUUGCUGGGGCUUGGGGAUGUCUUUGAGAGAAAAAGAACAAAUGAGAUGCAGAAGAUGGGUUACAAGCGUUCAGCAAAGAAGUGCAAAGAAAAAUGGGAAAAUAUGAACAAAUAUUUCAAAAGGACCAUUGUAACUAGGAAGGCUAGUAUUGCAAAUGAUAAGACAUGUCCAUAUUUUCAAGAAUUAGAUAUUCUUUAUAGAAAUGGAGUGGUAAAUACUGGAGCUGUCUUUGAUAGUACAAAUACUGGAAAUAAUUCCAAGGCUGAAGUAUAGAUCCUUUUCAUGAAGAUGCUUGUUAGCAGCAGCAGACAUUAUUUAUUUCUACCAAACAGAAGUAUACAAGUAGGCUGCCCUUUGCUAGCAGCAGACAAGACAAGGAACAGAAACUCUGUAUGAUAUUUAUUUCUGGCCAUAGUAAGCUUGUGGGUUGGUGCUGUGAUUAGUAGCUGGUGCAAUUUCAUAACUGUCUUGUAUGUUGGUUAUCGUCCAUUCCCGCUGCAGAUGUAGGGUUCUUGUGUUGUUGGCAUCUUUCCAGUAGUCCCUAUGACAAAGUUUUGCUAUCAAUCACUUGUCUGGUUGUGAUUAGAAGAAUCAUAAACUAAGGAAUUUGGAUCUUAAAGCUCAAGAAAGAAGAGUUUGUGAAUGCUGGGUUUGUUAACAUUGCAUAUUUUUUUGCUUCUUUUGUCAUUUAAGUGAUGUUGCUAAUACAAAGUUGAAGGUUGAAGACUGAGAAGGCGUUUAGGAUUUCUUAUUUAAGUCUUGUAUUAGGAUCUUUGUUUCAUGUACUAUUGUAGAAUGUAUAUAUAAACACAAUAUUAAAUUUUCA